UACAGAGGGUGCGAGCGUUAAUCGGAAUUACUGGGCGUAAAGCGUGCGUAGACGGUUUUGUAAGUCGGAUGUGAAAUCCCCGGGCUCAACCUGGGAAUUGCAUUCGAGACUGCAAGGCUUGGGUGCGGAAGAGGGAAGCGGAAUUUCCGGUGUAGCGGUGAAAUGCGUAGAUAUCAGGAGGAACACCGGUGGUGUAGACGGCUAUCUGGACCGUAACUGACGCUGAGGCACGAAAGCGUGGGUAGCAAACAGG
rnacentral:rRNA from 1 species